CUUCCAUUAAGCAGAGGUUCUACAAGGAAGCUAGCAUUCCAGAGAGCCAGUUGGUUGCUGAUCAGCCCUCUGUAAGAAAAUGGUGGUUUCAUGCACGUAGUUUAAAAUUUUUUCAUAAUCAAUCUAUGUGUAGCAAAAGUAAAUUAAAUUAAUUUUUUUAAUUUAAAAAUAUAUUAGAUCUCAUCUAUAAACCACAUGCUGGAUCUCAAUGCAAACAUGUCACCAUGAUCUAAAAUUUGAAGUCAAAAACAAAAAUCAUCAGAAGAAAAAUCGG
rnacentral:lncRNA from 1 species